GGUCGAUGAUGACUAAUUUUAAGGCUUGUUUCUCAAAACAUUCGCAGUGGCCGCCUAAGAGCUUUCGCCUUCGCCAGGUUUGAGAGUUACUGCUGCUUUUAUCCUUCCUUGGAUGUCUGAGACC
rnacentral:snoRNA from 2 species